rnacentral:lncRNA from 1 species
AGAGACUCGUACGUUUUUUUUUUUCAUCAUUCAAGCUAGUCAACAACAACAACAACUACCCAGUAUACUCCCACCAGGUGGGGUCUGGGGAGGGUAAUAUGUAGACAAGCCUUACCCCUACCCCAAAGGGCAGAGAGGCUGUUUCCAAUCGACCCCCGGCUCAUAAGAUAAAAGAAAAAACACCAGUAACACAAAAACAAAGCACCAGGUGGGGUCUGGGGAGGGUAAUAUGUAGACAAGCCUUACCCCUACCCCAAAGGGCAGAGAGGCUGUUUCCAAUGUGGGGAAUGGGAGUAACAACCUGGAGAUCCCAUUUUUCAUUUUCCAGCUACAACACUUGGUGUGAGCCCAUUCGCUCUCGCCUUGAUGAGCAGGAUUACUUUGGUAACCUAUGUUUGUGGACUGGACAGGUUACCCGGUAGACUAGUCGAGGUAUGAGCCCAGACCACUGAUUUUUUUUUAAAAAAGUUAAUGUGAUUUCCGACCUAGAUUUUUCAAUAAGAAGGACAUGUUGUUUAACAAUAAAAGAUAACCACUAGUGCAAAUAUAU